rnacentral:rRNA from 1 species
UACAGAGGUCUCAAGCGUUGUUCGGAUUCAUUGGGCGUAAAGGGUGUGUAGGUGGCGCGCUAAGUCGGGUGUGAAAUUUCGGAGCUUAACUCCGAAACUGCAUUCGAUACUGGAUGGCUAGAGUCUGGUAGGGGGAUCUGGAAUUCCUGGUGUAGCGGUGGAAUGCGCAGAUAUCAGGAGGAACACCGGUGGCGAAGGCGGGAUCCUGGGCCAGUACUGACGCUGAGGAGCGAAAGCGUGGGGAGCAAACAGG